rnacentral:rRNA from 1 species
UACGUAGGGUGCGAGCGUUAAUCGGAAUUACUGGGCGUAAAGCGUGCGCAGGCGGUUUUGUAAGUCUGACGUGAAAUCCCCGGGCUCAACCUGGGAAUUGCGUUGGAAACUGGAAGGCUAGAGUGUGGCAGAGGGGGGUAGAAUUCCACGUGUAGCAGUGAAAUGCGUAGAGAUGUGGAGGAACACCGAUGGCGAAGGCAGCCCCCUGGGUUAAGACUGACGCUCAUGCACGAAAGCGUGGGGAGCAAACAGG